UUCCGCCUCCCGAGCUGCCUCUCUGACUACAUUUCCGCUCGAGCGCAAAUUCCUGCCUUAAGCACUAAAUGUGAUUUUGCACUGCAGUAUUUCUGGUCAACAGCAGAGGGCGAAAGAGAGCCGCAUUGCAGGAGUGAUAUCAACAAAAAUCACUCAAAGAGCAAGAUUCCAGAAGGUUCCAAAGAACCCCAGAGUAAUAUCAGCAUCUGCAGGCCUCGCAGCAUCUUGGCUAAGGUUGUCCUGGAGUCCACCAUCAGGGACUGAACAAGAAUGGUGUGCAUGGCAGGACAACAAGAUGGUAGCCAAGAACAUUUUGCCAAAGACUGUGUGAAUGAGCCAGAAGACUAUGAAAAGAAUGUUUUUUGUCAACAAAUGAAUGUCAGAAAUAAAACGGAUUGAUAUAAAGAAGUGUUAAAUAUGACCCAAAAAAAAGACACCGCUAACGGGAUAUUCUCAGAAGCAACGUUCUCUUUCAAGUUAAGAUCAAACAUUA